rnacentral:rRNA from 1 species
AUUGAACGCUAGCGGGAUGCUUUACACAUGCGAGUCGAACGGCAGCGCGGACUUCGGUCUGGCGGCGAGUGGCGAACGGGUGAGUAAUGUAUCGGAACGUGCCCAGUAGCGGGGGAUAACUACGCGAAAGCGUAGCUAAUACCGCAUACGCCCUACGGGGGAAAGCAGGGGAUCGUAAGACCUUGCACUAUUGGAGCGGCCGAUAUCGGAUUAGCUAGUUGGUGAGGUAACGGCUCACCAAGGCGACGAUCCGUAGCUGGUUUGAGAGGACGACCAGCCACACUGGGACUGAGACACGGCCCAGACUCCUACAGGAGGCAGCAGUGGGGAAUUUUGGACAAUGGGGGCAACCCUGAUCCAGCCAUCCCGCGUGUGCGAUGAAGGCCUUCGGGUUGUAAAGCACUUUUGGCAGGAAAGAAACGUCGCGGGCUAAUACCCCGUGGAACUGACGGUACCUGCAGAAUAAGCACCGGCUAACUACGUG